rnacentral:misc_RNA from 1 species
UCCAACAUUUUUUUUAUAUAUAUACACAAACUUUACAGUAUGGCUAAAUGAAUGUAUGUUCAUAAUAUAAUAAUAAUAACUUUCAGCAACGGAUCUCUUGGCUCUCGCAUCGAUGAAGAACGCAGCGAAAUGCGAUAAGUAAUGUGAAUUGCAGAAUUCAGUGAAUCAUCGAAUCUUUGAACGCACCUUGCACCUCUUAGUAUUCUGAGAGGUACACCUGUUUGAGUAUCAUUAAAUUCUAUCCAAUCACUUUCAUUUACUUUGGAAGCUGGUUUGGGAUUUGGGGGAAUUGUAAUUGCAGAUUUCAUAUUUGCUCCCCUUGAAUAUAUUAGCAGGGAUUUUGUAUUGGUCCUUGGGUUUGAUGUGAUAAAUGUCUCUUCUACCCUUUGACUUUCAAUUUCUUUUGUAAUCCUUUCUGCUUCAAACUGUCUUAAUACACAUAACUAUGAUGAUCAUGAUCUCAAAUCAG